GGAGCUGGGGCGCGGACGCGGAGCGCGCCGCUCGUCCCUUCGUCCAGGUCGCCCGCCAGCCCCUCAGCGGCCGCUGCCAGAGCAACCCGCCUUCCUUGGAGUCUCCUCCCGAGGCGCUGCCAUCGCGGGUCCCUGCCGAGCCUCGGCCGCGGUGCCCGCUCCUCCCUGUCCGCGCGGUCCCCGCAUCUCCCGUGGCGGUAACCCGCCGCCCGGGCUCUGGGCGAGCACGCGAGCGCUCCUCGGGGCGCGGAGCAGCCUGCGCUCCGUCCCCCACGCGCCCUUCCGCCGCCCGCGCAGAACCCCCAGCGGGCGUCCGACCUACAGCUGGAGAAGGCGGUGGGGAGGCGCCGGCGGGGGAGUGUCCAGCCAACAUUGUUAAAACCGCUCCUGUACCCUGGAUCAGUAACUACCAAUGAGAAGGUGAACCUGUUCUUGGCAUCCAGACACCUGAUUUGGGAAUAAAAAUUUCAAAAGACAAGAACAUGGUGUGAAUAUUCAUUGCCGAAAUCAUGCAUCUAUCUCUUUGGAGAACUGGCUUUUCUCCUGUUCCUGAAAACUUGAACCUCACUGCAAAACUACACCUAAAACCUGAACUUUAACCCCAACCAUAACAAAAAUCUGACAGCAACCCAUUGCUCUGGC